rnacentral:lncRNA from 1 species
ACACAGAACGGGGAGAAAGCCCUCGUUUUCCCUCUCUCCUUCGCAACACAGUACCAUCACUAUGCAAUAUCGAAUCCUGCGAGUUCUCGCCAUCUCCGACGAAGGUAAGGCCGAAAACCUUCUUAAUAAUUUGUAGAUCACGUCUAGGAGUACGUUUAGGUUGUUUUUGAGACAGUUUGGUGUUGUUGGGACAUAGAAAUCACAAGGGGGAAACACUCCCAGUUUUCCGAAGAGAACCCG